rnacentral:misc_RNA from 1 species
GUGAAUCAUCGAAUUUUUGAACGCAAAUUGCACUCUCUGGCAUUCCGGAGAGUAUGUCUGUUUGAGGGUUAGUAUAAUCAUAAUUGGAGCGAUGUUUUUUGGGUGACGCACCGGUGUUUGGGUCAUCGUAAAUCUUUUUUUUAAGAGACCUAAAAUUAACAUUCUUUUUUGCUCACUUUGAGACGUACAUAAUUUUUUUUUAUUCGUCUUGAUUGGUGGUAAAAAUUUUAUUAGAUCGUGAAUCUAGUAUAGUGGUAUCGCGUCUAUAAUUAUCAUGAUU